ensembl:lncRNA
CUUGUCUCUCAGGUCCUUGUCUCUCAGGUCCUUGUCUCUGAGGUCCUUGUCUCUCAGGUCCUUGUCUCUGAGGUCCUUGUCUCUCAGGUCCUUGUCUCUCAGGUCCAGCUCUCUCAGGUCCUUGUCUCUCAGGUCCUUGUCUCUCAGGUCCUUGUCUCUCAGGUCCUUGUCUCUCAGGUGUGAAGAGUUUGAAAUACACGUAACAAACUAAUUAUACAAGUAACAAUCUUCUUGACAUCAUUGAAGAUGUAGUUAUUUUACAGUUUUUGGGUUCUGUUCCCUGAGCUAAACUCAGAAGAAAAAAAAUGUAGAGCCAUGUUCGGUUCACUUUAUUUGUGGCAGUUUUUACCCCGUAUCCAUGUUGUGCCAUUUUUUUACAGCCUGGUACUGGGUUACCUUCAAAACAACACCCCUGAAGCUCAAACGCUUUGGCCUGGAAUGUCAGUUUUAUGAGAAGACCUCUUCGAAAUGAGCCUUUCCGUAUCAGAGAGUUCAGACGACUGCAGUAAAGCUUGUAGAGAUCACAGAGCGAAACAAAUGACACCAUCGUGUUCGGGAGUCUCAUCAAACAUAUUCGUUUUGUAGAUCGAACUGUUCAGGUUCUCCAGACAAUUUUGUGAAGAUGUUCUUGUCUGGAUCCUCUCAUGUGUAGAAAAACAACCCCCCCAUGUUAUGGAAUAGGCAUAAACUUCAUUUUGGCGGAAAGAGGGGAUUGGGCUGCAGCAAUGACAUGGCACGAUAAAUCUCUAGCAUAAACACAUGGAGAGCUAUUGAAUACACGCAGGCCAACAGCUUGUAUGUUUUACAGCAUUGAUUUUAAUAAACUGUAGUUGAACAGAGGUUUAGAUAUCAUACACAACCAAUUUUAACACACUGGUGCACUGGGGAGAGGAGUUGAACUCAACGCAUCGCAUUUCCCAGGUAGCUACUGCGGUGACACGUGAAGUACUACAGUACCCAGAAGACACUGUUACAGAGGAAGUGACAUCAUCCCCACAGAGUCAUGUGACGGGAAGUUGAUCCGCGUAUAUGUACACUGACUUGUAUUGUUAUUGUUCAGAUGUAGAUAAAUAUAUUGUUGAACUUUUCAAAUAAAUAAAAUGGUAUUAUUUACAUAGCAUACAAAUAAGACCCUGUCACCAAACCAUGUUCUGUUAAAGGUCCUGAACAGUCAAAAUUGUUUUUUUCUUCAUGAAGUUUCAUGAUAUUUGGUUGAAACCAGAUCAAAGUAGGAAGACCAAUGUAUGAUAAAUGACUGUUGCUUCUACAUUGAUCAAGUUGGAUCAUAAAGUUACUGAUACCCCUCCCCCACUUGUCAAACACUUGGACUCAGGAGGAGGUCACAAAAAUAAACUCUUAUUUUAAUACACCAAAGGCCAUGUCGUUACAUUAACGUUGCAAACUUCUUGACAUAGUCAUGAUAUAUGACCAUUGUCUGGCAGUCAACAUAUAUAAAAUGCAUGACGUUUACCCAGACUCCACCCUGUCGUUUCAAAUCAAAUUGUCCAAGAUAGCUAUAUAAAAUGGUGCUGACAAUAAAUAAAUAAAUAUAUAUAUAUUUCUGAAACCAUGAUGUGAUGUCUGAAAGGAAUGGAAGUUGCACGCAAUUUGCUUGAGAUAAUGUCACUGCAACAUGGCAACACUGCGUCCAUGUUGCUUGACAUGGCCGUUUCCAAAGAACCGUCAGGUGAUCUCCCCGCACAAUCUGUCUUUUCAGACUUCCUGGUAGUUUGACAUAAAAUAAAAAAAUACUUUUACAUUUUUUUUUAACAUUCAGAGCAUUUCUAGAGGAGAAAAAAAUAAUAAUUAUGGGUGAUGUUUUGGUCACUCAAAAGGCUACUUUACAUGGGAAUCAGAAUGACUGUUCAGGACCUCUGAGUUAGUUAGUCCAGGGGUGCAUCCCAAAUGGCACCCUAUUCCCUAUGCAGUGCACUACUUUAACCAGAACCCUAUUCCCUAUGUAGUGCACUACUUUAACCAGAGCCCUAUUCCCGAUGUAGUGCACUACUUUAAACGGGGCCCAAUUCCCUAUGAAGUGCACUACUUUAACCAGAGUCCUAUUCCCGAUGUAGUGCACAACAUUUAGCCAGAGCCCUAUUCCCUAAGUAGUGCACUACUUUAACCAGGGCCCUAUUCCCUAUGUAGUGCACAACCUUUAGCCAGAGCCCUAUUCCCUAUGUAGUGCACUACUUUAACCAGAGCCCUAUUCCCUAUGUAGUGCACAAUCUUUAACCAGAGCCCUAUUCCCUAUGUAGUGCACUACUUUAACCAGAGCCCUAUUCCCUAUGUAGUGCACAACAUUUAGCCAGAGCCCUAUUCCCUAAGUAGUGCACUACUUUAACCAGGGCCCUAUUCCCUAUGUAGUGCACAACCUUUAGCCAGAGCCCUAUUCCCUAUGUAGUGCACUACUUUAACCAGGGCCCUAUUCCCUAUGUAGUGCACAAUCUUUAGCCAGAGCCCUAUUCCCUAUGUAGUGCACUACUUUAACCAGGGCCCUAUUCCCUAUGUAGUGCACAACCUGUAGCCAGAGCCCUAUGGGUGCCAUUUGGGAGGCACAUAUUAGACAGGGAACGGAGAAACAAUCUAUAGAGAAGACAGGGAACAGAGAAACAAUGUUACAGAUAUAUAUUACAUCUAAUAGAGAAGACAGGGAACAGAGAAACAA